rnacentral:sRNA from 1 species
CCCCACUGCCCAGUCAGCAGAAGUGGAGGGCCGAGUCAGCACCAGUAGUGCUGACUCGGCCCUCGGUUUCUGCUGACUCGGCGAUCAGG